GAUGAACGCUGGCGGCAGGCCUAACACAUGCAAGUCGAGCGAAAAGACAAGGAGCGUGUGCCCUUGACGUUGGCGGCGGACGGACGAGUAAGGCGUACGUAACAUACUUAUAAGUCGGGGGGAACAACGGGAAACAGGUGACGAUACUACAGAAUACGUCGAACGGGAGGGAUCAAGAGAUAAUGGGGCCUUUGGUGUCACAAAGAGACGGAGCCGCGCCGGAUUAGCUAGUUGGUAAGGUAACGGCCUACCAAGGCGACGAUCCGUAGCUGACCUGAGAGGGUGAUCGGCCACACUGGAACUGAGACACGGUCCAGACUCCUACGGGAGGCAGCAGUAGGGAAUCUUGCACAAUGGGCGAAAGCCUGACCGAGCCACACCGCGUGAGUGAUGAAGGUCUUCGGAUCGUAAAACCCUGUUAUUAGGGAAGAACAGAUGCAUGUUUAACCGCGGAUGUCUUGACGGUACCUAAACAGUAAGCCCCGGCUAACUACGUG
rnacentral:rRNA from 1 species